CUACGGGAUGCACCAGUGAGGAAUAUUGCACAAUGGGGGGAACCCUGAUGCAGCAACGCCGCGUGGAGGAUGACGCAUUUCGGUGUGUAAACUCCUUUUAUAUGUCAAGAAAAUGACGGUAGCAUAUGAAUAAGCACCGGCUAACUCCGUGCCAGCAGCCGCGGUAAUGCGGAGGGUGCAAGCGUUACUCGGAAUCACUGGGCGUAAAGGACGCGUAGGCGGGUUGGAAAGUCAGGUGUGAAAUCCUACAGCUUAACUGUAGAACUGCACUUGAAACUUCUAAUCUAGAGUAUGGGAGGGGGAGAUGGAAUUAGUGGUGUAGGGGUAAAAUCCGUAGAUAUCACUAGGAAUACCUAAAGCGAAGGCGAUCUCCUGGGACAUUACUGACGCUAAGGCGUGAAAGCGUGGGGAGCAAACAGGAUUAGAUACCCGCGUAGUC
rnacentral:rRNA from 1 species